rnacentral:rRNA from 1 species
UGGGGAAUAUUGGACAAUGGGCGCAAGCCUGAUCCAGCCAUGCCGCGUGGAUGAUGAAGGCCCUAGGGUUGUAAAGUCCUUUUAACGGGGAAGAUAAUGACGGUACCCGUAGAAUAAGCCCCGGCUAACUUCGUGCCAGCAGCCGCGGUAAUACGAAGGGGGCUAGCGUUGCUCGGAAUUACUGGGCGUAAAGAGCACGUAGGCGGACCGAUAAGUCGGGGGUGAAAUCCUGGAGUUCAACUCCAGAACUGCCUUCGAAACUGCCUGUCUUGAGUUCGGGAGAGGUCAGUGGAACUGCGAGUGUAGAGGUGAAAUUCGUAGAUAUUCGCAAGAACACCAGUGGCGAAGGCGGCUCACUGGCCCGAUACUGACGCUGAGGUGCGAAAGCGUGGGGAGCAAACA